GGGGGGGAGGGGAGCGGUGGGCCAGGUGGGAGGCAGGCGGACGAAGGAAUGCACGGCUCGCUGCUUCCUCCGGACCCUCAAAGUCUCCCUACGGCCGAACGCUUGGGGUUUAUUUAUUUAUUUUUUUACGAGUUUCGGGACGGAAAAUUAACGAGAGAGCGCCCAGCAGCCCUCUCCUUCCACCUCUUUGCGACUUCCAGGGAAACUACAAGACUUUCCCCGAGAGGAAGGGGAUGUGGGGAGGCUCCCUUCGGAAGCAAAAGGUCUUCCUUGUGUACACCCAGGAAGCCAGGCUUCACCGAUGACAAAGGGAAGACCCCGCUUGCUCCCUUUGUUCAGCCUCACUCCAUUCCUCAGGAAGUGAUCCCACAGGGCAAGCUUUGCCCUAUUCCAGCAAAUCUCUGGCCACUUGAUAAUGAGAAAAACUAGUGUUUGAGUGUGGAUAUCACCAUCAGUGUUCGACUUCAAUACUGACUAUAAUACUUGAAUGACUCAAUGCAUUGAAACUCUUUUUUGAUGAAAGUUUUAAAUGUAUAUUUCCAUUUAAUAAAUAUUUGUUUGAGAAUGUUAUGUGCCA
rnacentral:lncRNA from 1 species